CGCUGAAGGAGGAGCUUGCUUCUCCGGAUGAGUUGCGAACGGGUGAGUAACGCGUAGGUAACCUGCCUGGUAGCGGGGGAUAACUAUUGGAAACGAUAGCUAAUACCGCAUAAGAGUAGAUGUUGCAUGACAUUUGCUUAAAAGGUGCAACUGCAUCACUACCAGAUGGACCUGCGUUGUAUUAGCUAGUUGGUGGGGUAACGGCUCACCAAGGCGACGAUACAUAGCCGACCUGAGAGGGGUGAUCGGCCACACUGGGACUGAGACACGGCCCAGACUCCUACGGGAGGCAGCAGUAGGGAAUCUUCGGCAAUGGACGGAAGUCUGACCGAGCAACGCCGCGUGAGUGAAGAAGGUUUUCGGAUCGUAAAGCUCUGCUGUAAGAGAAGAACGAGUGUGAGAGUGGAAAGUUCACACUGUGACGGUAUCUUACCAGAAAGGGACGGCUAACUACGUGCCAGCAGCCGCGGUAAUACGUAGGUCCCGAGCGUUGUCCGGAUUUAUUGGGCGUAAAGCGAGCGCAGGCGGUUAGAUAAGUCUGAAGUUAAAGGCUGUGGCUUAACCAUAGUACG
rnacentral:rRNA from 1 species